UUGGAGGGCAAGUCUGGUGCCAGCAGCCGCGGUAAUUCCAGCUCCAAUAGCGUAUAUUAAAGUUGUUGCAGUUAAAAAGCUCGUAGUUGAAUUUCGGGAUCAGAGUGUCGGUCGUGCCUCGGUACGCACUGGUAUUAUUGGCUCCUACCUUCUGAAGAACCUCGAUGUCAUUAAUUUGGUGUCGUGGGGAAUCAGGACUGUUACUUUGAAAAAAUUAGAGUGUUUAAAGCAGGCUUACGCUUGAAUACAUUAGCGUGGAAUAAUGAAAUAGGACGUUUGAUUCUAUUUUGUUGGUUUCUAGGAUUGACGUAAUGAUUAAUAGGGAUAGUUGGGGGCAUUAGUAUUCAAUUGUCUGAGGUGAAAUUCUUGGAUUUAUUGAAGACUAACUGCUGCGAAAGCAUUUGCCAAGGAUGUUUUCAUUAAUCAAGAACGAAAGUUAGGGGAUCGAAGACGAUCAGAUACCGUCGUAGUCUUAACCAUAAACUAUGCCGACUAGGGAUCGGAUGAUGUUAAUUUUUUAAUGACUCAUUCGGCGCCUUACGGGAAACCAAAGUGUUUGGGUUC
rnacentral:rRNA from 1 species